rnacentral:rRNA from 1 species
ACUCAAAUGAAUUGACGGGGACCCGCACAAGCGGUGGAUUAUGUGGUUUAAUUCGAAGCAACGCGCAGAACCUUACCCGCUCUUGACAUGCAAAUUACAGCUAUGAGAGAUCAUAGUGUCGGUUCGGCCGGGUUUGCACAGGUGCUGCAUGGCUGUCGUCAGCUCGUGUCGUGAGAUGUUGGGUUAAGUCCCGCAACGAGCGCAACCCUUACUGUUAGUUGCCAUCAGGUUGGGCUGGGCACUUUAGCAGAACUGCCGGUGAUAAGCCGGAGGAAGGUGGGGAUGACGUCAAGUCCUCAUGGCCCUUAUGGGCGGGGCUACACACGUAAUACAAUGGGGAUGACAGAGGGAAGCGAAGGGGUGACCCGGAGCAGAUCCUAAAAAGUCCUCUCAGUUCGGAUUGUUCUCUGCAACUCGAGAGCAUGAAGUUGGAAUCGCUAGUAAUCGUCGAUCAGCACGCGACGGUGAAUACGUUCCCGGGUCUUGUACACACCGCCCGU